AUCCUCCUUUUUAUCAACUGCUGCUGCUGCUGUCACCACUUCUGCUACAGCAUUGUCAACUGAGAAUGAUAUUUGGACAUAUCAGCUCUCCCAUACAAUUCAAUCAGUCAAUGAUCUCUGAAAGGAAUGGGAACAGAGGUUGAAUGGACAGCCCUCUGUGCAGCAUCUGAAGUCAUCAUACAGGUCUAGCUGGAGAAAGAAGAAUAGUGAGUGCAUGUUCUUUUUCCAGCAGAAGGUGAUCAUUGAUGAGAUACUCAGUCACCACUAUACAAUGAAAUCAAGAUCUGUUCUAGAGAUUGUGGAGGAGCUUGAGUUGAUGCACAUACAAUUAAGAAUGAGUCUGAACAAGCUCUCUGUCUUCCUCAGAAGAGCAAGAAGAUAAUCUGUGUAUAUUAACUAUACUAUAUUGUAUAUCUUUUAACCUUGAGUAUUUAUUUAUUUAUGCAUGCAGGCUGCCUCAGCAGAAUUCACA
rnacentral:sRNA from 2 species